ensembl:lncRNA
CCUGAAGCAUCUCACAUCUGACUUCACAGCAUGUCUGAGGGGAAUCGCGGAAGAACUCCUGAACACGGAAAAUAUAACACGUGCAGGCGUUAACGGUUUCAGAAUAGAAUUAAGGUGGGAAAAACUACUCUCAGCGUGAUCAGUCAUCAGAAAUCCCUCUCUCCGUGUGUGUCAGUGUGUGAUGAUGGAGAGCAUCAGUGUGACGUGUGCAGAGGUUCAGAGCUCAGGCGGGUUUGAGCUGAGAGUUCCUGCUGACAGACUCACUCUCUUCAGUCAGUCUGACUGUGAACCGCUCUGGUACUCACAGGAUGAUCGUCUGAUAGCAGAUCCAUCAGAUCCUCAGAAACUGAUUGAUCCUGUUAUUUCUGUCUCAUCUGAUCGUCUCGUCACGUCUCAGUGUGUGAAUCUGAAUCACGAGAACACACACACACACACACACACACACUCUCACACACACACACUCACACUCACACACACACACACACACACACACACUCACACACACACACACACACACACACACACGUUUUAUUUGUUCAGGAUGAUCGUCUGA